GACGAACGCUGGCGGCGUGCUUAACACAUGCAAGUCGAACGGAAAGACCCUGCUUUUGUGGGGUGCUCGAGUGGCGAACGGGUGAGUAACACGUGAGUAACCUGCCCUUGACUUUGGGAUAACUUCAGGAAACUGGGGCUAAUACCGGAUAGGAGCUCCUGCUGCAUGGUGGGGGUUGGAAAGUUUCGGCGGUUGGGGAUGGACUCGCGGCUUAUCAGCUUGUUGGUGGGGUAGUGGCUUACCAAGGCUUUGACGGGUAGCCGGCCUGAGAGGGUGACCGGCAACAUUGGGACUGAGAUACGGCCCAGACUCCUACGGGAGGCAGCAGUGGGGAAUAUUGCACAAUGGGCGGAAGCCUGAUGCAGCAAGGCCGCGGGCGGGAUGACGGCCUUCGGGUUGUAAACCGCUUUCGCCUGUGACGAAGCGUGAGUGACGGUAAUGGGUAAAGAAGCACCGGCUAACUACGUG
rnacentral:rRNA from 1 species